UCGCCUACGGGUGGCUGCAGUGAGGAAUAUUGCGCAAUGGGGGCAACCCUGACGCAGCGACGCCGCGUGAGUGAGGAAGGCCUUCGGGUCGUAAAGCUCUGUUAGCAGGGAAGAAGUGCACGGUGGUGAACAGCCGCUGUGUUUGACGGUACCUGCAGAGGAAGCACCGGCUAACUCCGUGCCAGCAGCCGCGGUAAUACGGAGGGUGCGAGCGUUGUUCGGAAUCACUGGGCGUAAAGGGCGCGCAGGCGGGGUGAUAAGUCAGAUGGGAAAGGCCAGGGCUUAACCGUGGAAGUGCAUUUGAAACUGUCAUGCUUGAGUACCAGAGGGGAAGGUGGAAUUCCCGGUGUAGAGGUGAAAUUCGUAGAUAUCGGGAGGAAUACCGGUGGCGAAGGCGACUUUCUGGCUGGAUACUGACGCUGAGGCGCGAAAGCGUGGGGAGCAAACAGGAUUAGAUACCCCAGUAGUCAA
rnacentral:rRNA from 1 species